rnacentral:lncRNA from 1 species
CUCUUCCUGUGUGGAACCUGGAAUUCAAACGGCUGGGGCCUCACUCACGGCAUAUGGAACUAACCACGCCCCUAACUAAGAAGGCACACCUUAGUUGCAGUUAGCACACAAUUAAAGCAACUCUCCAAGUUUUACCUUAAAGUUCAAAAUUGCUAGGAGUUGAAACUACUAGAAAUAUAUUUACAUGCAAGAGUCAAAGAAACUUUGAACUAUUUAUGGCCUUUAAUAAUUAAGUAAGGUAUACUCCUGUGAUCAAGACUUGGAGCAUAUUUGUUUCUCUCUGCCUGGUUCCUCUAGAAAUUGGAAACUAUCAGAACAGAGACCAACUCCGUUUCCCGAUCCCUUUGCAAUCUGCAUUGAACCAUGAGUCAAGUUCUUGAUAAAGGAGUGAAAAUGGUAAGUCUAAAGCAAUGAAAAGCUGCUGUAUUGACUACACAUGCCUUCAUUUCUUCUACCCUGCUUCUUUCAUGCCUGCUUAUCUGAAUGACACCAGGAUGACAUUUAAGGCACAUCUGAAGAUGGGGAAACCACAGCACAGAAUAAGGCUGGGCCCUUGAAUCAAUAAAUGAAGGAGAACUACUCAAGAGAACAAAACCACCAGCAAUAUCCACCUGUAUUUGUCUUUUCAUAAUGUGUGACACAUGUGCUCAUGGAUUAUUGUCCGAAGCAAGACAUGUGACCAAGCCUAACAUCAACUGGGUGAAGAGCUAUAUGUUCCUUUCUCAAGAGGCACUACAAGUGACAUGCCACUGGGCAGGAUUAUCCUUUCUACUCUCCUACUUUCUGAACUACUUUUCUCCCUCUGUAAGUCUUAAAGAAGUUCAAUGAGCUAUAAGUGAACUCAGGUAGACAACUCAACAAAAUCAAGAAGACAAUACAUGAACAAAAUGAUACUUUGAAUAAAUAAAUAUAAACCAUAAAAAA